AGAGUUUGAUCCUGGCUCAGGACGAACGCUGGCGGCGUGCUUAACACAUGCAAGUCGAACGGAAAGGCCCUUCGGGGUGCUCGAGUGGCGAACGGGUGAGUAACACGUGGGUGAUCUGCCCUGCACUUUGGGAUAAGCCUGGGAAACUGGGUCUAAUACCGAAUAGGACUGCGCUCUUCAUGGGGUGUGGUGGAAAGCUUUUGCGGUGUGGGAUGGGCCCGCGGCCUAUCAGCUUGUUGGUGGGGUAAUGGCCUACCAAGGCGACGACGGGUAGCCGGCCUGAGAGGGUGACCGGCCACACUGGGACUGAGAUACGGCCCAGACUCCUACGGGAGGCAGCAGUGGGGAAUAUUGCACAAUGGGCGCAAGCCUGAUGCAGCGACGCCGCGUGAGGGAUGACGGCCUUCGGGUUGUAAACCUCUUUCAGCACAGACGAAGCGCGAGUGACGGUAUGUGCAGAAGAAGGACCGGCCAACUACGUGCCAGCAGCCGCGGUAAUACGUAGGGUCCGAGCGUUGUCCGGAAUUACUGGGCGUAAAGAGCUCGUAGGUGGUUUGUCGCGUUGUUCGUGAAAACUCACAGCUUAACUGUGGGCGUGCGGGCGACACGGGCAGACUGGAGUACUGCAGGGGAGACUGGAAUUCCUGGUGUAGCGGUGGAAUGCGCAGAUAUCAGGAGGAACACCGGUGGCGAAGGCGGGUCUCUGGGCAGUAACUGACGCUGAGGAGCGAAAGCGUGGGGAGCGAACAGGAUUAGAUACCCUGGUAGUCC
rnacentral:rRNA from 1 species